UUUGACUAAAAUACUUCCUUUAAGCCAUCUACAUUUAUUUUUACUACAACAACAUUAAUUGAAAGUUGAAAAAUGUUACUUUUACAAGUGAAAAAUGUGGCAAAAAUCAUCAAAAUAGAAUGUGGCGGGUGGUACCGUUUUAUGGGGGCUAUUCCAAAACGUGGACCGAUAUAUCUCAUUUUCAGUUGCAACCAUUCUAGAUACAAUACAAAUUGUUGUGCUAAAUUUUAAAGCUCUUCGUCAAAUAAUGUGGGCUAUAUCGUGAUUUCAAUAGGCAGACAGACGGACAUCGUUAAAUCUGCUUAGAAUUUUAUGCUAAUUUUGAAUGUAUAUACUUUAUGGAGUCUACGAAUAUUGAGACUUUCGGCUCGUACAGGUGAAGAUUGGAUUAAAGGCUGGGCCGACUACAAAUUCAAAUUGCGAAAAGAGAGGAGAAGGUAUAGGCGUUUUAAGAUCUGGAGAGACUUGAGUCAAAACAUUUUAGAAAGCAUUCUUACGAACCCUGAAAGCACCCUGCUUUUACAUCUAUUAAAAAUGUGGUAGUCGAAAGUUUUAUAUAAAUCUAAAAUUUGAUGACGAUACAGAAUUUGGCGAUACAGAUAACAAUUGCAACAUCACUCAUUGUUAACUGUAAUGGUAGCUCCGAGCCGGAGGUGCGAUGCAGCACUCUUUCUUUCCCCCUAUCGCAAAAAUUUAUGAUUAAAGUGGCCGACACACCUCAUAAGGUCACUGAACGUGAUAGCGGUCAUGCCUCUGUUGGGUGUCAUUGCGGGUAUUUUACCGGCAGGUAUAUAGAGAGCGACUUCCCCUCUGAUGAAUCCUUUCUACUACCCGGGCAUAUGAAGGGUUAGGUCGUUCCCUGAAGCGAAGUUUCGUGAACUUUCUGAAUUCUGUCCAGUGGGCAUUCCUAUGAUUAAGGAAAAUAAAGGCAAUUGUGGGAAGAUGGUUUGAACCAAGAGAAAUUGCAAAUCAAGACAUUUAUUACAAUAGGCGACACUACGGCUAAGUCUGGCAAACUGAGGCAUCCGUGUCUAGUGUGCAGAAUGUGGAGUAAUCAAUGUGCUCUGACAACGUUGAUCUCCUUUGGUCGUUCCCUAGGACGUAAUGCUACAGCUCAUAGUAGACAUUAAAAAGUCAAUAGUACCAGGGGUUAUAAUUUUCUAAAAGAAAGCAAUCGAAGCGUUUUAUAUUUAUAAACUGUCGGAAUAUACAUAUUGGAUACCUCUACCUGAAGUAUUUCACACUUAAUUACUACUAUACAGAAUUGUAUAACAGCAACCCCCAAUCCCCGACAUCCACUUCAGGUGCAAUUGAUUUGCAAAGAUGGACAAUCCGGAAUUAGAACAGCAACAUCUGGAGUAAGAUAGAUAAAUUUUUAGGCAGAAUAUCCCUAUAUGUCUUAUAAAUUAGAGAAAAAGAGUCUGAUAA